rnacentral:rRNA from 1 species
ACGUAGGGGGCAAGCGUUGUCCGGAAUUACUGGGCAUAAAGCGCACGCAGGCUGAAUUAUAAGUCGGUAGUCAAAGGCGGAGGCUCAACUUCCGUUUAUCUAUCGAAACUGUAAAUCUAGAGUAUGUGAGAGGGAAGAGGAAUUCCCGGUGUAGCGUUGACCGGCUUAGUUUUUAGGUAUAACGUCGAUGGUGAAGGCGGCGGUGUGUGUAAAACCUGUUGCUCAGGAGCUAGAGUGAGUGAAGUGAGCAG